rnacentral:rRNA from 1 species
CCCCUAGAUGUUCUGGGCCGCACGCGCGCUACACUGAACAGUUCAACAAGUCUUAACCUUGGCCGAUAGGUCUGGGUAAUCUUUGAACGCUGUUCGUGAUUGGGAUAGACCUUUGCAAUUAUGGGUCUUCAACGAGGUAUUCCUAGUAAACGCAAGUCAUCAGCUUGCAUUGAUUACGUCCCUGCCCUUUGUACACACCGCCCGUCGCACCUACCGAUUGAAUGGUCCGGUGAAAUCUCGGGACGGCGGCUUGGUCGCUUGCGUCCGACUGCUGAAACUUGAUUAAACCAUAUCAUUUAGAGGAAGGUGAAGUCGUAACA